rnacentral:rRNA from 1 species
UACGUAGGGUGCGAGCGUUGUCCGGAAUUAUUGGGCGUAAAGGGCUCGUAGGCGGUCUGUUGCGUCGGGAGUGAAAACUCAGGGCUUAACCCUGAGCCUGCUUCCGAUACGGGCAGACUAGAGGUAUGCAGGGGAGAACGGAAUUCCUGGUGUAGCGGUGAAAUGCGCAGAUAUCAGGAGGAACACCGGUGGCGAAGGCGGUCUCUGGGCCGUA